UUUUUGGAGAGUUUGAUCCUGGCUCAGGACGAACGCUGGCGGCGUGCCUAAUACAUGCAAGUCGA
rnacentral:rRNA from 3 species